rnacentral:rRNA from 1 species
CCUACGGGUGGCAGCAGUGGGGAAUAUUGGGCAAUGGAGGAAACUCUGACCCAGCAACGCCGCGUGAAGGAUGAAGGUUUUCGGAUUGUAAACUUCUGUCGCGAGGGAUGAAGAAUGACGGUACCUCGUAAGAAAGCCCCGGCAAACUACGUGCCAGCAGCCGCGGUAAUACGUAGGUGGCAAGCGUUGUCCGGAUUUACUGGGUGUAAAGGGCGUGCAGCCGGGAAGACAAGUCAGAUGUGAAAUCCCGCGGCUCAACCGCGGAACUGCAUUUGAAACUGUUUUUCUUGAGUACCGGAGAGGUCAUCGGAAUUCCUUGUGUAGCGGUGAAAUGCGUAGAUAUAAGGAAGAACACCAGUGGCGAAGGCGGAUGACUGGACGGCAACUGACGGUGAGGCGCGAAAGCGUGGGGAGCAAACAGGAUUAGAUACCCCAGUAGUC